CUCCUACGGGAGGCAGCAGCCGCGGUAAUACGUAGGAUCCGAGCGUUAUCCGGAUUUAUUGGGCUUAAAGGGAGCGUAGAUGGGUUGUUAAGUCAGUUGUGUAAGUUUGCGGCUCAACCGUAAAAUUGCAAUUGAUACUGGCGUCCUUGAGUACAGUUGAGGUGGGCGGAAUUCGUGGUGUAGCGGUGAAAUGCUUAGAUAUCACGAAGAACUCCUAUUGCGAAGGCAGCUCACUAAACUGCAACUGACAUUGAGGCUCGAAAGUGUGGGUAUCAAACAGGAUUAGAAACCCCUGUAGUCCCAAA
rnacentral:rRNA from 1 species